AAUUAGACACAGGGGAUUUUGAUGUAAUUUUAGGAAUGAAUUGGCUAGCGGCGUAUCACGCCACUAUAGAUUGUUUUAGCAAGAAGGUUGUAUUCAAUCCUCCUAAUGAGGAGCCAUUUACAAAUUAAUAAAAUUAUUUAGCACUUAUUCCUUCAUGGCAAAUUUUCUUAUUCAUCGAAUACUUUAGCCCUACUGUUUUCUCUAAC
rnacentral:lncRNA from 1 species